CCUACGGGGGACUGCAGUGAGGAAUAUUGGUCAAUGGGCGCGAGCCUGAACCAGCCAAGUCGCGUGAGGGAAGACGGUCCUAUGGAUUGUAAACCUCUUUUGUCGGGGAGCAAAGGACGCCACGCGUGGCGUUCCGAGAGUACCCGAAGAAAAAGCAUUGGCUAACUCCGUGCCAGCAGCCGCGGUAAUACGGAGGAUGCGAGCGUUAUCCGGAUUUAUUGGGUUUAAAGGGUGCGCAGGCGGAAGAUUAAGUCAGCGGUAAAAUCGAGAGGCUCAACCUCUUCGAGCCGUUGAAACUGGUAGUCUUGAGUGAGCGAGAAGUAUGCGGAAUGCGUGGUGUAGCGGUGAAAUGCAUAGAUAUCGCGCAGAACUCCGAUUGCGAAGGCAGCAUGCCGGCGCUACACUGACGCUCAUGCACGAAAGUGUGGGUAUCGAACAGGAUUAGAUACCCGUGUAGUC
rnacentral:rRNA from 1 species